rnacentral:rRNA from 1 species
AACCAGCACCUCGAGUGGUCAGGAGGUUUAUUGGGCCUAAAGCAUCCGUAGCCGGUUGCAUUAAGUUUUACGGUUAAAUCUAUGCGCUCAACGUAUAGGCCGACCGAAAAUACUGUGCAGCUAGGGAGUGGGAGAGGUACACGGUACUCAAUAGGAAGGGGUAAAAUCCUUUGAUCUAUUGAUGACCACCUGUGGCGAAGGCGGUGUACCAGAACACGUUCGACGGUGAGGGAUGAAAGCUGGGGGGAGC